UACGAAGGGUGCAAACGUUGCUCGGAAUCAUUGGGCGUAAAGCGCACGUAGGCGGCAUUCUAAGUCGGAUGUGAAAUCCCUCGGCUCAACCGAGGACGUGCAUCCGAAACUGGAACGCUCGAGUAUGGAAGAGGGUCGCGGAAUUCUCGGUGUAGAGGUGAAAUUCGUAGAUAUCGGGAGGAACACCAGUGGCGAAGGCGACUCACUGGACACAUAUUGACGCUGAGGUGCGAAAGCGUGGGGAGCAAACAGG
rnacentral:rRNA from 1 species